UACGUAGGGUGCGAGCGUUAAUCGGAAUUACUGGGCGUAAAGCGUGCGCAGGCGGUGAUGUAAGACCGAUGUGAAAUCCCCGGGCUUAACCUGGGAACUGCAUUGGUGACUGCAUUGCUGGAGUAUGGCAGAGGGGGGUGGAAUUCCACGUGUAGCAGUGAAAUGCGUAGAGAUGUGGAGGAACACCGAUGGCGAAGGCAGCCCCCUGGGCCGUAACUGACGCUGAGGAGCGAAAGCAUGGGGAGCGAACAGG
rnacentral:rRNA from 1 species